GCACAGUGAUACAGUGAGGCCAAGGACUGGAGACAACUGGAUGAAGGUCACCUAGUUCACUUAUACACGACAUCACCACAGUCCAAUAAGGGCAGGAGGGGAGCAGUUAUCGGAGCUUCUGAGCACUUAAGGAGAAGCAUAACUUGUUUCUGUAAAGGAAGCCGAGCUUCAUCCUUAGUUUGGAGAUCAAGUGUUUAAGAUGAACUUUAAAAGAGAGCUCCAGGUUAGUAGUUAAUCCCAGAUACUUGUAACUGCUGACUAGCUCGAGAGUUUUACCUCGAGCAGUUUUAAUUGAUGGUAUAUCCUCCAAGGAAACAGGUGACUUUGAAA